AGCUUUGCACAGUGGUAGUAUCGUAGCCAAUGAGGUUUAUCUGAGGAGCGAUUAUUGCUAAUUGAAAACUUUUCCCAAUACCCCACCAUGACGACUUGAAAUUUAGUCAGCAUUGGCAACUUUUGGCAGUCUCUAUGUGA
rnacentral:snRNA from 1 species